rnacentral:lncRNA from 1 species
GCACCUGAAAUGGCUGGACUGUAGGGAACUGCUCCAGUUUCCCCAUCAAGAGGAAUAGGCAGACACACAGCACCGAAUCCAAUAAACUGAAGGCCGGCAACUCCUUUGGUUACAACUAACUGAUUCACUGAAACUCCUGUUAAAACUGACUGUGGGUGUGGAGCCAACAGCAAAGGUGUUGUGGUGGUCAUGAAGGUGAUAAACUGCCCAACAAAAGCAAACCACCUCCUAUAUGCAAAUCGCCACCACCAAGAACUCCGGGGCCACUCUCAACAGCAUCCAGCACAUGCUCCACAAGAAGUACCAUCACCCAGAUCUAUGCAUGGCAGCUUCCACAGAGCCAGCACCAGUCUGCAUAGCCAGAAGCCUGUGAGGAUGAAGAGGAAGGGGACCUGCCCCACCAAUCC